CUACGGGCCGCUCCAGUGGGGAAUAUUGGACAAUGGGGGAAACCCUGAUCCAGCAAUGCCGCGUGUGUGAAGAAGGCCUGCGGGUUGUAAAGCACUUUCGGUUGGGAGGACUGCUUCUAGCACUAAUAUUGUUGGAAGUUGACGUUACCUUCAGAAGAAGCACCGGCUAACUCCGUGCCAGCAGCCGCAGUAAUACGGAGGGUGCAAGCGUUAAUCGGAAUUACUGGGCGUAAAGCGCGCGUAGGCGGCUAGAUCAGUCGGGUGUGAAAGCCCCGGGCUUAACCGGGGAACUGCAUCCGAUACUGUCUAGCUUGAGUACAGGAGAGGAGAGUGGAAUUCCACAUGUAGCGGUGAAAUGCGUAGAUAGGUGGAGGAACACCAAUGGCGAAGGCAGCUCUCUGGCCUGAUACUGACGCUGAGGUGCGAAAGCGUGGGGAGCAAACAGGAUUAGAUACCCCGGUAGUC
rnacentral:rRNA from 1 species